GACGAACGCUGGCGGCGUGCCUAAUACAUGCAAGUCGAGCGGAGCUUAUCCUUCGGGGUAAGCUUAGCGGCGGACGGGUGAGUAACACGUAGGCAACCUACCCUGUAGACUGGGAUAACUACCGGAAACGGUAGCUAAUACCGGAUAAUUCCUUUCUUCUCCUGAAGAAAGGAUGAAAGGCGGAGCAAUCUGCUACUAGAGGAUGGGCCUGCGGCGCAUUAGCUAGUUGGUGGGGUAACGGCCCACCAAGGCGACGAUGCGUAGCCGACCUGAGAGGGUGAACGGCCACACUGGGACUGAGACACGGCCCAGACUCCUACGGGAGGCAGCAGUAGGGAAUCUUCCGCAAUGGGCGAAAGCCUGACGGAGCAACGCCGCGUGAGUGAUGAAGGUUUUCGGAUCGUAAAGCUCUGUUGCCAGGGAAGAACGUCCGGUAGAGUAACUGCUACCGGAGUGACGGUACCUGAGAAGAAAGCCCCGGCUAACUACGUGCCAGCCGCCGCCGUAA
rnacentral:rRNA from 1 species